ensembl:lncRNA
CAACGGCACCUGCACGGACCUCUUCAAUCUCCUCUCCUGCGCAUGUGGCCCGGGAUGGACGGGUGAACGCUGCCAGGAGAACGUUGAUGAGUGCGGCUGGCAGCCCUGUGUCCGCGGGACAUGCUGGGACGUGGCGGGGGACUAUGAGUGCCAGUGCAUCCCCGGAUAUACUGGGAAGAACUGCCAGCUGGAGGUGCCUGAGUGCCAGGAGCAUCGCUGUGAGAACGGAGGCUCAUGUGUGGCUGCGGUUACAGGAUACACCUGCGUCUGUCCACCUGAUCACACCGGACCAUUCUGCCAAUGGCGUUUUCCUCCUCGGCAGUGUGAUGUGGAUUUACAGUGUGAACAUGGAGGCGUUUGCACUGAUGGAUCGUGGGGAGCCAACUGUACCUGCAGACCGGGCUUCACCGGAGACAGGUGAGCUUCUGCAGACGUCAGCACAGGCUGAUCAAAUGUGCAGUUAGACUGAUGACUGUCUGUGUUCCAGAUGUGAAGUGGACGUAGACGAGUGUGAGUCGGACCCGUGUCGUAAUGGAGGCACGUGUGUGAACAGACACAAUCACUACCUUUGUGAGUGUGUGUCUGACUUCAGCGGAGAAAACUGUGAGGAUACGGUAAGUUCUUUGGUCUUGUUUAUUCGGCUGCUCAGUCCUUGUGUCCUUUUGUUUCAUCCAUGCUCUAAAGCCAAAAGAUUUUUUUUUCUGUUUAAA